AGUUUCAACGGCCGCGGUAACCUGACCGUGCUAAGGUAGCGUAAUCAAUUGCCCUUUAAUUGUGGGCCAGUAUGAAUGGUCAGACAAGAGCUUAACUGUCUCAAAAAGCCUCAUGAAAAUUAACCUUUAGGUGCAAAGGCCUAAAUUUUAGUGAAAGACAAGAAGACCCUAUCGAGCUUUAAUUUAUAUUAUUCUUAUCCAACUAUAUAAAUUUUUAUUGGGGCAAUAAAGGAGCAACUAAACCCUCCUUGAUAAAAACAGAUAAACUAAUUUACAAAAGACACAUUUAAAAAUGACCUUCGGCAUAAGCUACCGUAGGGAUAACAGACUAAUUUCCCUUGAGAGUUCGCAUUGACAGGGAAGUUUGGCACCUCGAUGUUGGCUUAAAAAAACAGUUAGAAGCAACUCUCUAACCUUGUAGGUUUGUUCACCCUUUAAUUUUUUAGUCUUCUAGACAAAAAUAUUAGAAGUCCGACCUGCCCAGUGAACUAAU
rnacentral:rRNA from 1 species